GCCACAUCAACAUUUGUGUUUUGUUUGGAAAAUGAACCACUUGUGUCUGUAGCAAAGAGGCACUUGAUUUGAAAGUUAAAGCAGCUGAACUAUGAUUAAUUAAGAGAUAAGGUGAAAUAAGAACAAUGAAAGGAAUAACCUUAGACAUGAAAGACAGUUUUCUGUUAUUAUUGGACUACUUUUAUAUGUAUAUGGUCAAGGAGAACUUAUAGCCUUUGUAUAUCCCUCAGGGUGUAUUUUGACUCAGGGCAGACCUGCAAGGACCACGUGAUAAUCAGAGAUACUUCUUAGAAAAGUAUUAAUGUCAUGAAAUGUUUGGCUGGAACAAAGUAGGGAGCUGAAAGAUGUGCAUUGAAAGUACCUUAGGUUUCAACAUGUGGAUGAAAGGACUUCUGAGGCUCAUCUUAAACGUCUGGUGAGGAUCCCUGAUUCAUGCUAAAAGAAACAGCAGGAGCCGCAGUGUAUGGGCCAUUCGGGAAGGACAGCGGUUGAUAGAUUGGACUGAACUAUCUGUCACAGGCCAGGGAUGGUUAAAAUAAAAAAUAAAGAGGAUGGAGCGAAGAAGACAAAUGGAUGCCUUCUGAUGGUGUUCCAGAGAGAAUAAUCACAGAAACGGGAUGAGCUGUCACUCGCGCUCACCGUGGCAACAGGAG
ensembl:lncRNA